CCAACAGGGCAUUGCCCCAGUAACGGCGAGUGAAGCGGCAACAGCUCAAAUUUGAAAUCUGGCCUCGGCCCGAGUUGUAAUUUGCAGAGGAAGCUUCUGGUGCGGCGCCGUCCGAGUCUCCUGGAACGGAGCGCCAUAGAGGGUGAGAGCCCCGUAUGGACGGACGCCAAACCUGUGUGAAGCUCCUUCGACGAGUCGAGUAGUUUGGGAAUGCUGCUCAAAAUGGGAGGUAAAUUCCUUCUAAAGCUAAAUAUUGGCCAGAGACCGAUAGCGCACAAGUAGAGUGAUCGAAAGAUGAAAAGCACUUUGAAAAGAGGGUUAAACAGCACGUGAAAUUGUUGAAAGGGAAGCGCUUGUGACCAGACUUGGGCGCGGCGGAUCAUCCGGUGUUCUCACCGGUGCACUCCGCCGCGCCCGGGCCAGCAUCGGCUUCCGCCGGGGGACAAAGGUCCCGGGAACGUAGCUCCUCCGGGAGUGUUAUAGCCCGGGGCGCAAUGCCCCGGCGGGGGCCGAGGACCGCGCAUUGCAAGGAUGCUGGCGUAAUGGUCAUCAGCGACCCGUCUUGAAACACGGACCAAGGAGUCAAGGUUUUGCGCGAGUGUUUGGGUGUUAAACCCGCACGCGUAAUGAAAGUGAACGUAGGUGAGAGCUUCGGCGCAUCAUCGACCGAUCCUGAUGUAUUCGGAUGGAUUUGAGUAGGAGCGUUAAGCCUUGGACCCGAAAGAUGGUGAACUAUGCUUGGAUAGGGUGAAGCCAGAGGAAACUCUGGUGGAGGCUCGCAGCGGUUCUGACGUGCAAAUCGAUCGUCAAAUCUGAGCAUGGGGGCGAAAGACUAAUCGA
rnacentral:rRNA from 1 species